UUACUGGGCGNAAAGCGAGCGCAGACGGUUACUUAAGCAGGAUGUGAAAUCCCCGGGCUCANCCUGGGAACUGCGUUCUGAACUGGGUAGCUAGAGUAUNUCAGAGGGGGGUAGAAUUCCACGUGUAGCAGUGAAAUGCGUAGAGAUGUGGAGGAAUACCGAUGGCGAAGGCAGCCCCCUGGGAUAAUACUGACGUUCAUGCUNGAAAGCGUGGGUAGCAAACAGGAUUAGAUACCCUGGUAGUCCACGCCCUAAACGAUGUCGAUUAGCUGUUGGGCAGCUUGACUGCUUAGUAGCGUAGCUAACGCGUGAAAUCGACCGCCUGGGAGUACGGUCGCAAGAUUAAAACUCAAAGGAAUUGACGGGGACCCGCACAAGCGGUGGAUGAUGUGGAUUAAUUCGAUGCAACGCGAAGAACCUUACCUGGUCUUGACAUGUACGGAACCUUCCAGAGACGGAAGGGUGCCUUCGGGAGCCGUAACACAGGUGCUGCAUGGCUGUCGUCAGCUCGUGUCGUGAGAUGUUGGGUUAAGUCCCGCAACGAGCGCAACCCUUGUCAUUAGUUGCCAUCAUUCAGUUGGGCACUCUAAUGAGACUGCCGGUGACAAACCGGAGGAAGGUGGGGAUGACGUCAAGUCCUCAUGGCCCUUAUGACCAGGGCUUCACACGUCAUACAAUGGUCGGUACAAAGGGUAGCCAAGCCGCGAGGCGGAGCCAAUCUCAUAAAACCGAUCGUAGUCCGGAUUGCACUCUGCAACUCGAGUGCAUGAAGUCGGAAUCGCUAGUAAUCGCAGGUCAGCAUACUGCGGUGAAUACGUUCCCGGGUCUUGUACACACCGCCCGUCACACCAUGGGAGUGGGGGAUACCAGAAGUAG
rnacentral:rRNA from 1 species